AUUGAACGCUGGCGGCAUGCCUUACACAUGCAGGUCGAACGGCAGCACGGGUGCUUGCACCUGGUGGCGAGUGGCGAACGGGUGAGUAAUACAUCGGAACAUGUCCUGUAGUGGGGGAUAGCCCGGCGAAAGCCGGAUUAAUACCGCAUACGAUCUACGGAUGAAAGCGGGGGCCCUUCGGGCCUCGCGCUAUAGGGUUGGCCGAUGGCUGAUUAGCUAGUUGGUGGGGUAAAGGCCUACCAAGGCGACGAUCAGUAGCUGGUCUGAGAGGACGACCAGCCACACUGGGACUGAGACACGGCCCAGACUCCUACGGGAGGCAGCAGUGGGGAAUUUUGGACAAUGGGCGAAAGCCUGAUCCAGCAAUGCCGCGUGUGUGAAGAAGGCCUUCGGGUUGUAAAGCACUUUUGUCCGGAAAGAAAUCCUUGGCCCUAAUACGGUCGGGGGAUGACGGUACCGGAAGAAUAAGCACCGGCUAACUACGUG
rnacentral:rRNA from 1 species